UUUUUUUUUUUUAGGCACGGAUUGGCUUGGUCUUUGAUCAGAACGUCGGCUAUUAUACUCGAUAAAUUUUCAUUAUCCCUCGUGUCAUCAAUUUCGCGGCACGGAAAUUCAUCGUUGCUCGAACCACGCGAAAAAUAUCCAGGCCAAAGGAACGAACGAGAGAGAGAGAGUGAGAGGGGGGGGGGCAGGAGGAAAUGGAAGAAGAAAAAUGCGAGAGAAAUAAAAGGGAGGAGACCGAAAAGAGAGCUGUUCGUAUUAGGUCGGUGAGGUGAUGCUUUUAAUAUGUUAUUAAUCAUGUCAAGUACUGUUUUAUUAUUAUGUUAUGAGAUGUAAAUGGUGGGUGGGAAUGACAGGGGAUGAAUGGGACUAUAUCAUUGAGCAGAACAUUUUGAUAAGUUACGACAAGAGAGCAACAAGUUCAGAGGAUUCAUUCAUGCCUCGAAACAGUAGAAAGUAGGGGAAAAAGAGCGGGCACAAAGUGGGACAAAGGACACGUAUAAAUUAGAAUAUAUUCAUUUUGCUACGAUUACUGCACAGAAAAUAAUCGAUUCGAACUGACCAGCAGUCUCCUCGUAUUUAAAUUGCUACAAUCAAUCAGAUCAAAUAAAAAAGAAUCGGACAAAGCUAAGGAAAGGACCGAAGACGCACAAAAAUCAGAAUAAAUUUUAUAAUUAUUCGAUAGACAAUGAUCGAGCGAAACUCAACGUCGAUGGUCUUGCGUAUAAAUUCAAUAAAGGAUGGACGAUGAAAAUUUAUCAACAGUAUCCUCGCAUAAAAGUUCCUCACCUUUUUGACCAAGUAAGAAACCACGCGAAAUGAAGAAAAGAAAUUACACACAGAAAUAAAUUAGAAUGAUUUCUUGUAACUACAUUUAGCGUCACGAUGAUUUCAUAGAAGAUAUAGUGGAUUUAA